rnacentral:rRNA from 1 species
AUGGCAACCGAAACCCGGCGACGAGAUCUCACCCCCCCUCGUGUCAUGUCACUCGUGCCCAACUCCUCCCCGUCACCGCUCUACCCGGCCAGCCAGAUCCAGAUGUCUGGCACGACUCGCCGGCCGGGCAAGCCGCCGCCGCCAUCUCACGCUGCGAAGCGGCUGGCACUGCGUCUGACCACCCCCCUCGCGUCGCUGGCCCUCCUCCUAUGCGCCGCCGCUGGCGUUCUCCUCUACUCCAAAACCAUCCCGGCGUCCCAAAUCGUCGGCCGCUCAAAGGAAUCCAGUACGGCGUCGACGGCGCCCUCCUCCCCGACGGUGGAGUCGAUCGAGGGCGCGCGCGCCAUCUGGGAGCUCCCCGCGGCGCCGGCCAGGGGGGUCCUCUUUGUAGCCCACGGCUGCCGCUGCCGGCCGGAGAACUUCUGGCCGCCGUCCCAGCGCUGCCCCGGAUGCGUCGGGCUGCCGGAGGACGUCGCCAUCACGGCCCGCGCGCUACGGAGGCGGUUCGCGGUGCUCGCAGUGGCGAGCGCCGGGGACUGCCGGUCGCUGGGGAAGGAGGUGGGCGCCGCCAAGCGGGCGAUCCAGUCUUGGACCGCCAAGAACGGCCUCGGAGGCCUGCCAGUGGUCGCCCUCGGCGCGUCGUCAGGUGGGUACUUCGUCUCCCGGCUUGCGGCCAAGAUGAGCCUAGCCGCCGUCGUGAUGAUGAUCUCUGAGGGCGUGUUCGACCCGGCGGGAGCGCCGCCGGGCUAUCCGCCGUCCUUGUUCCUUCACAUGCCCAAGGACUAUAAGACGGCCGCGCUGGUGGGAAGGAAUGUGAAGAUGCUGAGGAGCAAUGGCGUUGAGGCGAGGGAGCUUCAGAGCCUGGAGCUUCCUCUGACGCCGACGCUGCUGUCCGAUAGGAUACCAGGGCUGGAUCAUGGGUUGUCUGAAAGGAUUUGGAAGGUUUUCAGUGAGGAAGGAUUCGUUGAUGAGAGGGGGUACAUGAGGAAGGAUGGCCGGGCAACUCCAUGGAAGAAUGCAGUGGUGAAGAGGGGGUUCUGGGAGGAGGUAUCCCAGUGGGCUAAGCACAUCCAAGAGGAGCUGAAUCUUGCUUAUGGAUACCAUGAGAUGACAAGCUUGCAGAAUGAUGAGAUGUUGAAUUGGAUUGAGGAGCACCUGAAAUGA